rnacentral:rRNA from 1 species
GACAGAGGCCCCAAGCGUUAGGCGGAAUCACUGGGCUUAAAGCGUGUGUAGGCGGAUCGUUAAGUGUCUUGUGAAAUCCCACGGCUCACCCGUGGAACUGCUGGGCAUACUGGCGAUCUUGGGCCAACUAGGGGCAGCCGGAACAAGCGGUGGAGCGGUGAAAUGCGUAGAUAUCGCUUGGAACGCCGAAGGUGAAAACAGGCUGCUGGGGUUGUGCCGGCGCUGAGACACGAAAGCCAGGGGAGCAAACGGG